rnacentral:lncRNA from 1 species
UCUUUAUCUUUUCUUUCAAAAAAAUAUCUAUUGAGAACCUCUGGUACCAUCCCUGUACCUGAUCAGGAUCACCUCACAUGAAACCUAGAUGUUACUCCAACAAACAAUAAAAAAAAGAAAGAAGAAAGCUAAGGUUUGGCAUUGGAACCAGAGAGGGAGAGAAAGUUAGGGAGAAAAGAUCUUGUAUUCCACUACUUGCAUUAUGAAAAUCCUAAUAUAACCUAUGUAUAUAUAUAUACAUAACCAUUAGGCCCGAUCAGAAAAAUUCUUAUAGCUCAACCCAAUACGUGAAAGCAAUCACCGAACCAUAUCUCAUCAAUGUCUCACAUGCUCUCACCCCUUAGACUUAAUAUCAGUCCAAGCCUUUGAGUUGGCCCCCUUAAGACCUCUCAAACAAGAUCUUAAGACACAUAGGAUCAAAUUCAAUCCUAGUUUGAAAUAGAAUCCAUGCAUGAUCCUGUUCGCAACUCGAACCAGCUCAGUCAGACCUCGAGUCAGCUCGACUGUCGUGCCACUUGAUGCCAGUGAAAAUCAGCUUUCUGUUCUGCAUUCGAGUCGGCUCUCUCAGGGUCUCGGGCUGGCUCGUCCUGAUUCGAGUUGACUCUAUCCAGAUCCGAGUCAACUCCUCUACAGACUGGAGCAGAUCUUCAUACUAGGGCCUCUCCUGUCCUAGUCUUAGGACCCAACCCUGAUCCUAGCAUCUCAAAGUCAUCAUUGUGACUCUUCUCAUGGCCUCCCAAGACUUGAAAGCACCACACAUGCACAACAAUCUCCACUUUAGUGUCCCAAGCCUCGGUAAACUCCUUGGCGCUCUCCAGUAUCCUGUUGUCCAUCAGUACUCCAUGCUCAUGCAUCUGACGUGUCUACAUCCACUGCUGCCAUAGUGGAUCUCCUGCGCACCAUGUCCUGUGCAUCGAUCCUACGCCUUGCAUGCCUCUGCUACCAUGGAACUUGAAGCCCGCAUCCUUCAAAGUAUCCUCCUGAGUUUCGAUACUAUAAAGCCUCUACCUGGAUCUCAGAAUCCUAUAUCUGCA